GAGUUUGAUCCUGGCUCAGGAUAAACGCUGGCGGCGCACAUAAGACAUGCAAGUCGAACGGACUUAACCAUUAGUUUACUAUUGGAGCGGUUAGUGGCGGACUGGUGAGUAACACGUAAGCAACCUGCCUAUCAGAGGGGAACAACAGUUAGAAAUGACUGCUAAUACCGCAUAUGCCUUGAGUAUCGCAUGGUACAAGAGGGAAAGAAGCAAUUCGCUGAUAGAUGGGCUUGCGUCUGAUUAGAUAGUUGGUGUGGUAACGGCAUACCAAGUCUACGAUCAGUAGCCGGACUGAGAGGUUGAACGGCCACAUUGGGACUGAGAUACGGCCCAGACUCCUACGGGAGGCAGCAGUCGGGAAUAUUGCGCAAUGGAGGAAACUCUGACGCAGUGACGCCGCGUGCAGGAAGAAGGUUUUCGGAUUGUAAACUGCUUUAGACAGGGAAGAAACAAGACAGUACCUGUAGAAUAAGCUCCGGCUAACUACGUGCCAGCCGCCGCGGUAAUUC
rnacentral:rRNA from 1 species